AUUGAACGCUGGCGGCAGGCCUAACACAUGCAAGUCGAGCGAGCGGCGGACGGGUGAGUAAUGUCUGGGAAACUGCCUGAUGGAGGGGGAUAACUACUGGAAACGGUAGCUAAUACCGCAUACCAUACAAUGUGCCCACAUGUGAUUAGCUAUUAGGUGGGGUAACGGCUACCUGAGGCGACGCUCCCUAGCUGGGCUGAGAGGAUGACCAGCCACACUGGAACGGAGACACGGUCCAGAAUCCGACGGGAGGCAGCAGUGGGGAAUAUUGCACAAUGGGCGCAAUCCUGAUGCAGCCAUGCCGCGGGUGUGAAGAAGGCCUUCGGGUUGUAAAGCACUUUCAGCGGGGAGGCGUUACCCGCAGAAGAAGCACCGGCUAACUCCGUGCCAGCAGCCGCGGUAAUAC
rnacentral:rRNA from 1 species